CGUGGCAAAACUGCUGACGAGUGUACCCUUUCUACAGAAAGUAAAAAAAGGAAAAAAAGGCCUUGCUGAGGAAAUUAAACUUAUGUUCAAGUGCUAUUUCUUUAUGGCACCUAGGAACAAGCAUUUCUAACAGUAAGACUCUGUCUCAAAAAAAAAAAAGAAAGACAAAAAAAAAAAAUAUUUAAAGCUAGAAAUGCCCCUAGUUGGAUUUUGUGAGUCAACAGAUCAUAAAGAUUAAGAAAAGGCUCAGCAUCUGCUGAUCUGGGUUCAAAUCCCAGCUACACAACUCACAGCGUGCGAACCUGGCAGGGCCUCUAAGAUCUCAGUUUCCUCAUCUGUGAAAUGGGGAAACAACAGCACCAGCAUUCAACAAAGCAUUCCAUAAAUGCAAGCUGUUAGCCCAGCGUGGAGACCGAUAUUCUGGAAGUUGGUAAUGAAGAAACUGAGGCCCCAGAGGCACAGACACUGGCCCAAGUUUGCACACGAAGCUGGGGACACAGCUGAGAUGGGAGCCCAGACAGACGGGUUACAGCAAGAUUCCUGACCAACCACGCAGGCGGGCCGCGCAGUCCAGCAGCCAAGAGAACAGGCUCUAGAGGCCACCUGCCUGGCUUAGAGUGCAGGAACCAGGCCAAGCGUUAAGGAGCAAGAGAUGGAUUUUCCCUGAGGAAUGAAGAGAACAAACUGUGCUCCAUUGGUUUCCUUUCUUUUUCUUUCUUUUUCUUUUUCUUUUUUUUUUUUUUUUUUUGAGACAGAGUCUCACUCUGUCACCCAGGCUGGAGUGCAAUGGCGUGAUCUCGGCUCACUGCAACUUCCUCCUCCUGGGUUUAAGCAAUUCUCCUGCCGCAGCCUCCCGAGUAGCUGGGAUUACAGGCGCCUGCCACCACGCCCAGCUAAUUUUUGUAUUUUUAGUAGAGAGAGGGUUUCACCAUGUUGGCCAGGCUGUUCUCGAACUCCUGACCUUAGGUGAUCCACCUACCUUGGCCUCCCAAAGUUCAAGGAUUACAGGCGUGAGCCACUGUGCCCAGUCUCCAUCAGUUUUUCAAAAGUAGAUGUGGUGAUCUCCAUUUUAUACAUAAAGGAACUCUGGCUCAGAAAGGUCCACUCAGCCGAGUGACAGUUGAUAAAGGAAGGAGCAGAGAUUCAAACCUGACGCUCCUGCUUCCAGCUCAAGGCGUUUCUGCCAGUUGCCCAUCUUCCAG
rnacentral:lncRNA from 10 species